rnacentral:rRNA from 1 species
UUUAAUUCGAUGAUACGCGAGGAACCUUACCUGGGCUCGAACGUAAGAUGACUGUAGGUGAAAGCUUACAUCUCUUCGGAGCAUUUUACGAGGUGCUGCAUGGUUGUCGUCAGCUCGUGCCGUGAGGUGUCGGGUUAAGUCCCAUAACGAGCGCAACCCCUACCUUUAGUUGCCAUCAGGUAAUGCUGGGGACUCUAAAGGAACUGCCUACGCAAGUAGUGAGGAAGGCGGGGAUGACGUCAAAUCAGCACGGCCCUUACGUCCGGGGCUACACACGUGCUACAAUGGCCGAUACAGAGGGCAGCUACCUGGUGACAGGAUGCAAAUCUCCAAAGUCGGUCUCAGUCCGGAUCGGAGUCUGCAACCCGACUCCGUGAAGUUGGAUUCGCUAGUAAUCGCGCAUCAGCCAUGGCGCGGUGAAUACGUUCCCGGGCCUU